AGAGUUGAUCAUGGCUCAGGAUGAACGCUAGCGGCAGGCCUAAUACAUGCAAGUCGAACCGGGAAUCCCCCCGUUCUGGGGGAUGAGAGUGGCGGACGGGUGCGCAACGCGUAUGCAACCCACCCUCCCUUGGCGCACAGCCGGUGGAAACGCCGGGUGAUACGCCGUGCGGCCGUUGGGGGGCAUCCCCUGGCGGCGAGAGCCGAGAGGCGCGGGGGGACGGGCAUGCGUCCCAUUAGCUGGUAGGCGGGGUGACGGCCCACCUAGGCGACGAUGGGUAGGGGAUCUGAGAGGACGGUCCCCCACACUGGCACUGAGACACGGGCCAGACUCCUGCGGGAGGCAGCAGUAGGGGAUAUUGGGCAAUGGGGGGAACCCUGACCCAGCCAUGCCGCGUGAGGGAAUUAGGCCCUACGGGUCGUGAACCUCUUUUGACCGGGGACAAUUGCUUCCACGAGAUGGGGGCUUGAGGGUACCGGUGGAAUAAGCGCCGGCUAACUCCGUGCCAGCCGCUGC
rnacentral:rRNA from 1 species